rnacentral:rRNA from 1 species
UACGUAGGGGGCAAGCGUUGUCCGGAAUCAUUGGGCGUAAAGAGCGUGUAGGCGGCCCGAUAAGUCCGCCGUGAAAGUCCAGGGCUCAACCCUGGAAUGCCGGUGGAAACUGUCGGGCUAGAGUCCGGAAGAGGCGAGUGGAAUUCCUGGUGUAGCGGUGAAAUGCGCAGAUAUCAGGAGGAACACCAAUGGCGAAGGCAGCUCGCUGGGACGGUACUGACGCUGAGACGCGAAAGCGUGGGGAGCAAACAGG